GGCAGGUUAGCUCAGUCGGUUAAAGCGUGGUGCUGAUAACACCAAGGUCGCAGGUUUGAUCCCCGUUCGGUCC
rnacentral:tRNA from 1 species